AGAGUUUGAUCAUGGCUCAGAUUGAACGCUGGCGGCAGGCCUAACACAUGCAAGUCGAGCGGUAGCACAGGAGAGCUUGCUCUCUGGGUGACGAGCGGCGGACGGGUGAGUAAUGUCUGGGAAACUGCCUGAUGGAGGGGGAUAACUACUGGAAACGGUAGCUAAUACCGCAUAACCUCGCAAGAGCAAAGAGGGGGACCUUCGGGCCUCUCGCCAUCAGAUGUGCCCAGAUGGGAUUAGCUAGUAGGUGAGGUAAUGGCUCACCUAGGCGACGAUCCCUAGCUGGUCUGAGAGGAUGACCAGCCACACUGGAACUGAGACACGGUCCAGACUCCUACGGGAGGCAGCAGUGGGGAAUAUUGCACAAUGGGCGCAAGCCUGAUGCAGCCAUGCCGCGUGUGUGAAGAAGGCCUUCGGGUUGUAAAGCACUUUCAGCGGGGAGGAAGGCGGUAAGGUUAAUAAUCUUAUCGAUUGACGUUACCCGCAGAAGAAGCACCGGCUAACUCCGUGCCAGCAGCCGCGGUAAUACGGAGGGUGCAAGCGUUAAUCGGAAUGACUGGGCGUAAAGCGCACGCAGGCGGUCUGUUAAGUUGGAUGUGAAAUCCCCGGGCUUAACCUGGGAACUGCAUUCAAAACUGACAGGCUAGAGUCUUGUAGAGGGGGGUAGAAUUCCAGGUGUAGCGGUGAAAUGCGUAGAGAUCUGGAGGAAUACCGGUGGCGAAGGCGGCCCCCUGGACAAAGACUGACGCUCAGGUGCGAAAGCGUGGGGAGCAAACAGGAUUAGAUACCCUGGUAGUCCACGCUGUAAACGAUGUCGAUUUGGAGGUUGUGCCCUUGAGGCGUGGCUUCCGGAGCUAACGCGUUAAAUCGACCGCCUGGGGAGUACGGCCGCAAGGUUAAAACUCAAAUGAAUUGACGGGGGCCCGCACAAGCGGUGGAGCAUGUGGUUUAAUUCGAUGCAACGCGAAGAACCUUACCUACUCUUGACAUCCAGAGAACUUAGCAGAGAUGCUUUGGUGCCUUCGGGAACUGUGAGACAGGUGCUGCAUGGCUGUCGUCAGCUCGUGUUGUGAAAUGUUGGGUUAAGUCCCGCAACGAGCGCAACCCUUAUCCUUUGUUGCCAGCGAUUCGGUCGGGAACUCAAAGGAGACUGCCGGUGAUAAACCGGAGGAAGGUGGGGAUGACGUCAAGUCAUCAUGGCCCUUACGAGUAGGGCUACACACGUGCUACAAUGGCGUAUACAAAGAGAAGCGACCUCGCGAGAGCAAGCGGACCUCAUAAAGUACGUCGUAGUCCGGAUUGGAGUCUGCAACUCGACUCCAUGAAGUCGGAAUCGCUAGUAAUCGUAGAUCAGAAUGCUACGGUGAAUACGUUCCCGGGCCUUGUACACACCGCCCGUCACACCAUGGGAGUGGGUUGCAAAAGAAGUAGGUAGCUUAACCUUCGGGAGGGCGCUUACCACUUUGUGAUUCAUGACUGGGGUGAAGUCGUAACAAGGUAACCGUAGGGGAACCUGCGGUUGGAUCACCU
rnacentral:rRNA from 1 species